AGUGCCCCCUAUGGGGCGAACAGGCCAGAUGGCUGCACUGGGUGCUGCAGUGAGCCCAUAGAAGGCUUUUUAUUGUUUCCAACAACUUUGGAAGAAUAAUAUCCAGCAUAAUGGAAGGAAUUCCUAGCUGGGUGGUUGAGUUGCAUAGGUGCUCCUCUCGUGAUCUGGGCUUCCCUACAAGAAAUGGCUCAAGGAGUCCUUCAGGCUGCACUAAAUAGUAACUGGAAUCCACACAAAGAAAUAAAGCACACACUAAAGGUACUUGACAACCUGCAACAGCAGCACAGGCUACUGUCUUCAUGGCUGCCUCCCAGCUCACCAGCAGGAGUACACGGGUAGGAAAUCAUAGCAGAUAAUCAACACAAGUAUGAGCAUAGCUGAACACAAUGUCACGUUGUAAUGGGAGAAUUGGUCUGAAUAAAGUGGUUCGCUGUUACAAAACUGGAAUACCUAAAAGUGAAUUGAAAUCAGC
ensembl:lncRNA